UCUCAAAGAACUAUUUAUCUAUCUGGUAUUAAAUGGUCAAAACAUGUCCAAGAAUUUUGUAAUAUUCCUGGACUUUAACCAUGUUAACACAUUUACUUUAAUUUUACAGUUUAAUAUUAUUCAAAAUAAGUGGACCCCUCUUUUAGAAAAAGUUGUUUAAAAUAUGAUGUAACUCUCCUCUUUUUGAGUACAAAAUUCAAAGUUUAAAAGGUUUUGUAUAGAAGAACUAUACAAAUCCUUGGUAUUUCUAUUUUCUUUUCUACAUCAGUAAAAUGACCCCUUGUCUGAGGGAGUGUUGUUUUCAACCUGAUAAUAACAAACACAGGCCUUUUACACAGGACUUGAUACAGACCAAACAGCAGGCUAUAAAGGACCCCAAAAUUAUUAGCGUACACAAUUCGAAGAGGAAAACCAACGAUCUAAUUUAUAUAUCAUGUAUAUCCAAACGGGAAAAUUACCAAUGAACAACAUCAACAAACGAUAACUGCUGAACGACAGGCCCCUGAAUCAAUCAGGACAGGUGCAUAAACAUGCAGCGGCUAUGGAUAGUUUUGUUUCGCCAGCAUACAAUAUAAUUGCAGUUGAAGGCAAAUCCUUCAGAAGUUCUUUGUACUUUAUUCUAAACUUUGAACGAACAUUUUUUAAUAGGGAAUAUAAGUAAGGGGGAAAGUACCCAAUUUUUUGUUCUUUUUAUAAUAUUUACAAAAAAACGGUGCGGGAAAUGGACAUGAUUACAUUUCCGGAUGCGGGAAGCGGGAAUAUAAAAAAAAUAAAAAAAUUCUGUUUUGAAAAAAAUAGGUGCGGGCGGGUCCGUCGAACAAGGAAUCAAAUUGGUGUGGCCUUAUAU
rnacentral:lncRNA from 1 species